CUGUGGUGCAUUGUAGUUGCAUUGCAUGAUCCUGAAGCCGAGUGCAAUGUGUCUGCAGUGCAGUACAG
rfam:Oreochromis niloticus linkage group LG4, whole genome shotgun sequence.